rnacentral:rRNA from 1 species
AAAUUGAAGAGUUUGAUCAUGGCUCAGAUUGAACGCUGGCGGCAGGCCUAACACAUGCAAGUCGAGCGGCAGCGGGAAGUAGUUUACUACUUUGCCGGCGAGCGGCGGACGGGUGAGUAAUGUCUGGGAAACUGCCUGAUGGAGGGGGAUAACUACUGGAAACGGUAGCUAAUACCGCAUAACGUCUUCGGACCAAAGUGGGGGACCUUCGGGCCUCACGCCAUCGGAUGUGCCCAGAUGGGAUUAGCUAGUAGGUGGGGUAAUGGCUCACCUAGGCGACGAUCCCUAGCUGGUCUGAGAGGAUGACCAGCCACACUGGAACUGAGACACGGUCCAGACUCCUACGGGAGGCAGCAGUGGGGAAUAUUGCACAAUGGGCGCAAGCCUGAUGCAGCCAUGCCGCGUGUGUGAAGAAGGCCUUCGGGUUGUAAAGCACUUUCAGCGAGGAGGAAGGCAUAAAGGUUAAUAACCUUUGUGAUUGACGUUACUCGCAGAAGAAGCACCGGCUAACUCCAUGCCAGCAGCCGCGGUAAUACGGAG